rnacentral:lncRNA from 1 species
AAAUUCCGAACUUGAGCAGGCAUAUAAACAGUAAACCAAUCGAACAGCAUACGACAGCAGAAAAAAAUCAGUUUCAAGUGCUAAUGGCACAUAGUGUAAUUCGCAUAUAUUAAGCUGUAAAUUAUUCCUCGAGAUACUCAAAAUACACAAACACAUAUUCGCGCACACCUGGCGAGCGUGAAGGUUGGAGAAGGAGAAAUUGGCCUGAUUUCUCAGAAAACGAAGACGACGACCUGUGGCGGUGCAAUUUGAAAAUCUUAUCUCUGAUCAUCAUCUCAACUAAUAGCUAGAGUUGGAAAAUAGAAGCUCAUAUAGCAUAAUAAUGGAGGGGAGAGACGUUGUGUGUGUAGAAGGUGAAAGUAGAAAGAGGAGUGGAGUGGAUAACUGAAUUCUCUUCUGUGGGGGCUGUG